GAUGAACGCUGGCGGCGUGCCUAAUACAUGCAAGUCGAGCGAACAGACGAGGAGCUUGCUCCUUCGACGUUAGCGGCGGACGGGUGAGUAACACGUAGGUAACCUACCUAUAAGACUGGGAUAACUUCGGGAAACCGGAGCUAAUACCGGAUAAUAUUUCGAACCGCAUGGUUCGAUAGUGAAAGAUGGCUUUGCUAUCACUUAUAGAUGGACCUGCGCCGCAUUAGCUAGUUGGUAAGGUAACGGCUUACCAAGGCAACGAUACGUAGCCGACCUGAGAGGGUGAUCGGCCACACUGGAACUGAGACACGGUCCAGACUCCUACGGGAGGCAGCAGUAGGGAAUCUUCCGCAAUGGGCGAAAGCCUGACGGAGCAACGCCGCGUGAGUGAUGAAGGUCUUCGGAUCGUAAAACUCUGUUAUUAGGGAAGAACAAACGUGUAAGUAACUGUGCACGUCUUGACGGUACCUAAUCAGAAAGCCACGGCUAACUACGUG
rnacentral:rRNA from 1 species